GCAUUUAAGAAAUACUCCAUCAAGACUUUUGGGAUAUACUGGAGAAUCAGUCACUAGAAGGUUUAAGUGAUGUGAUCACCUUCUCAUGCAGGUAUUAGGAAGAAAUCCGUGACUAAAUGACUGACAAUAUUCCCCAGAAAGACACUUGCUACAAGGCAUGUAGAAAUUGGCUCACCCUACAAUGUGAUAGUCUGGGAAGACUUCUGCCUGGAUGACCUGCACAAAAAAUGACACUGCCCUGCAGAUGCUUGAGGUGAAAUUUUCUCAGUGAUAUGUUUAUCUGUACACAAACACUCCCACCCUGCCCCCAGCCCCUGCCUUCAUGCCAGAAGAAAAGUGGAGCAUGCACCUUGCAUGCAAUCCCAAAGAGUCCUCCACGCAUCUCCUUCUGCUGCUGGGAAUUUGGCAUAUGCUCCUCCUGCACCUGCUGCUUUGCUGCUGCUCAGGGACAUAUUGUUGCUCUCACAUCAUCUGCUUCUGAUCAGCUUUCAACAUCUGCCAAAAUCCCAAGGACACAUGCAAGAUUUUCUCUAGUGGAAUGGAAGCAAAUACAUUUUCCUCCCCAUGAAAAAUGUGCCCAUGCACAGGAAUUAUCAAGUACCAUACUCUGUGUUCCCAUGAGCAGAUCCUUCUUGGGAAGCCUUUGGUAUCAGAUUUGGACUGGCAUCAAGGCUUUGUUAACUGCAGCUUUUCCAUUGAUCCUGAUGGCUUCUGAAUGAGGCCCCAUCAAAGAUUCUGGCAUAAGUUCAAACAGUCUCUGAUGAAUAACAAAGGCAUUCCGAAGCAGCUGCCACCAUUCACUUUCGCGUGUAGUCUUGUCUGAGUCAGGAGACCAGCCUAUGGAAAAGAAGAGAG
rnacentral:lncRNA from 1 species